rnacentral:rRNA from 1 species
AACGAACGCUGGCGGCAGGCUUAACACAUGCAAGUCGAGCGCCCCGGUAACGGGGAGCGGCAGACGGGUGAGUAACGCGUGGGAAUCUACCCAACCCUACGGAAUAACGCAUGGAAACGUGUGCUAAUACCGUAUACGCCCUUUUGGGGAAAGAUUUAUCGGGGAUGGAUGAGCCCGCGUUGGAUUAGCUAGUUGGUGGGGUAAAGGCCUACCAAGGCGACGAUCCAUAGCUGGUCUGAGAGGAUGAUCAGCCACAUUGGGACUGAGACACGGCCCGAACUCCUACGGGAGGCAGCAGUGGGGAAUAUUGGACAAUGGGCGCAAGCCUGAUCCAGCCAUGCCGCGUGAGUGAUGAAGGCCCUAGGGUUGUAAAGCUCUUUCACCGGUGAAGAUAAUGACGGUAACCGGAGAAGAAGCCCCGGCUAACUUCGUGCCAGCCGCCGCCGUAAAAC